UCUCCCCUUCAUAGGUGAGAAACCCGAGCUGGCUCCAGCUUUGCCAACCUCGGUCGCCCCAGAUUCAGUGAAGAGUCCCUUUCACUCUCCUCGCGACAUUCCUGGCCCCUUAAAUCUCACCUCCUGGUGCCGCAGGGUGCGGGAUGCGGACUGGGGACAGCGGCUCAGUGCCCUUUGGAGCUGGGGCGGGCCUGGCGGGUGGCCAGGCGGCGCCCAGGCCGGGUCGCUUCGCACUCCUGAAGAGCCAUGGAGCUGGAGCGGCCGGCGCCCGCGGAGGUGCGCAUGAGUCAGGCCAUCCAGCCUGCGCACGCCAACCCCCGGGGCGAGCUGAGCGCAGCGCAGCUGCUCAAGUGGAUCGACAUCACAGCCUGCCUGGCGGGUGGAUUCUUUACCAGCUGAGCCACAAGAGAAGCCCAAGAAUACUGGAAUCUCACUUCAAGCAUCCUCUCCACAUGGACACCUUCCUUGACAUCCACCCAGCUGAAAAACAUGCUGGUGUUUCCUGUGUCACAGCCUCAGUGGAUGACAUACAGUUUGAAGCAACAGCUAGAGUUGGACAAGUUAUAACCAUCAAAGCAAAAGUUAGCAGAGCAUUCAGCACAAGCAUGGAGAUCAGCAUCAAGGUUACAGUAGAAGACAUGCUCACUGGCACUGAGAAACUUGUUAGUGUGGCUUUCUCUACCUUUGUAGCCAAACCAGUUGGAAAAGAAAAGAUUCAGUUAAAACCAGUCACACUUCUAACUGAAAAAGAUCAUGUGGAACACAAUCUGGCUUCUGAGAGAAGGAAAGUUCGAUUACAACAUGAAGAUACAUUUAAAAACUUGAUGAAGGAAGGUGGCAAGUUUGACGAUCCCAUUUGUGAUGAUGAGGAAGGAACUGUUUCCACAAGGGGCACUUCUGUUCAGAGCAUUGAACUUGUCCUCCCACCCCAUGCAAACCAUCAUGGAAAUACAUUUGGUGGCCAGAUUAUGGCUUGGAUGGAGGCGGUGGCUACUAUUUCUGCAAGCCGCCUGUGUCGAGCGCAUCCUGUUCUGAAGUCCGUGGACAUGUUUAAGUUCCGGGGACCAUCUACAGUUGGAGACCGUCUUGUCUUCAACGCCAUCGUCAACAACACAUUUCAGACCUGUGUUGAAGUUGGAGUGCGUGUGGAGGCCUUUGACUGCCAGGAGUGGUCUGAGAGCCGGGGCCGUCACAUCAACAGUGCUUUUCUCAUUUAUAAUGCUGUCGAUGAUAAGGAAGAACUGAUCACAUUUCCCAAAAUCAAACCCAUGUCAAAGGAUGAUUUUCGACGGUAUCGUGGAGCUCUCGCACGCAAGAGAAUUCGCCUAGGCAGAAAAUAUGUCAUUUCCCACAAAGAAGAAGUUCCACUUUGCAUACACUGGGAUAUUGGCAACCAGGUAUCCUUGAGUAAUGGCAAUGUGGAGGCUCUCAAACGCCUGGCAGCCAAAAGUGGAUGGGAGGUUACCAGCGCUGUGGAAGAGGUAGGAGGCAUUCAGAUAAAAAUAUAUACUCUGGAAGAACAUGAUAUUUUAUCUGUUUGGGUUGAAAAGCAUGUGAAAAGACCGGCACACUUGGCUUACCAUCUCUUGUCCAACUUUACCAAGCGACCUUUGUGGGACCCCCACUACACAUCCUGUGAAGUCAUAGACUGCAUAAGUGAAGAUGAUCAGAUAUAUUAUAUCACUUGUUCUGUGGUGAAUAAUGACAAACCCAAAGACUUGGUAGUACUUGUUUCACGAAGAAGGCCACUCGAAGAUGGUCACACUUACGUGGUGGCAGUGAGGUCGGUUAUUCUGCCGUCAGUCCCACCUUCUCCACAGUAUGUCAGAAGUGAAAUCAUAUGUGCCGGAUUUCUCAUCCAUGCUUCUGAUAGCAGUUCAUGUACCUCAAUCCUAAAGGAAAUCAACCCUGAAUAUUCACUGGACGGACUGAUGCUGAAGCUCCAAUAUUUUAGCCACCAGAUGGCCACCUGACUCAUUGGAAGACUCCGAUGCUGGGCAAGAUUGAAGGCAGGAGGAGAAGGGGAUGACAGAGAAUGAGAUGGUUGGAUGGCAUCACCGACUCAAUGGACAUUAGUUUGAACAAACUCUGGGAGAUGAUGAAGGACAGGGAAGCCUGGCAUGCUGCAGCCCAUGGGGUCACAAAGAGUCAGACAUGACUUAGCAACUAAACAACAACCCCUAGCAAAGAACUAUUUCUCUAACCUUCUCCAAGGCGUCACUCCAAUUCUUUUUUUUCUCUAUUUCAGAAGUCUUUCCUGGAUUAUUAUCAUAAUGACUAUCAUCUCUUAUCUUAAAAUAAAAUAAAGCAAAACAAUACUUCAUCUGAUCCUAUUUCCUAAAGGCUACCCAUCUCUACUCCAAUUAUCUAUAAAUGUAACCUUCAUACCCUUAUUUCAUUCAAUGAAUUAUACUUCUCCCUCCACUACUCCACAGACCACUCAUUGCCACAACUAAUGGCAUCAACAAAACUGACUAGUUCCUUCUUUUUGCAUCAUUUUCUCCACUUGGCUUCCAUGAUGUCACUCGGAUUUCCUCCUAUAUCACCAGUCACACUUUAAAGCCUCCUCUCAUGGUUCUUCCUCCUCCACCAGACCUCUAAAUACUAGACCACCCAGGGCUCCAUCUUGGUCUCUUCUCCUCUAUCGCUAUUCCUCAUGGAGUCCACCCAGUCUUUGGGUCUUAAAAGAUAUCUACUUGCCAAUAACUCCCAACUCUACGUCUCAAGCCCUAAACACUCCUGAACUCCACAUCUGUAUAUCUAACUUCUUAGUUGACAUUUCCACUAAGAUAAUAGUCAUCUCAAAGUCAACACUUCCAAAACAGACCCCUUAUUUCUGCCACCUUUCCCUUCAUAAAUCCUUCCUUCAGGAAAGCUUAUCAGCUCUGUGUGAAAAAUAUAAUCAAACCUGAUUCCUUCUAAUCAACUCUAUAACCCUAAUUCAAAACAUCAUCUUCUAUCAUCUGAAAUAUAACCUGUUUCUAUUCCUACUUCUCCCUUCACUCUCAACUCAGCAGUCAGAUCAUGUCACAUUUCUUCUCAAACCUGUAAAUAAUUCUGCAUAUCACAGAGUAAAAGCCAAAGCUUUAUAACAGUCUGGGGUAUGAUGUGGUACAUUCAAUUAUUUUUCAAAAAUAUUCACUCCCUUGCUACCAUCCCCACCUCUGCCAACAGAGUGCACUAUUACACCUCUUGUCUCUGAGCUUAAUCAUGUGACAUCAACAGACAUGAUGCAAUCAAUCAAAGGCUUGAAGAUGUUUUUGCAAGUGGACCUGCCCUCUUACAUCUCUGUCAUGAGAAAAAGUUAGGACUAGUCUGCUGGUCCCAGGAAAAGGAAGAGAGAUACAAGCAAUAGAGCUGCUUCAUCUAAGCCUAGUUUAGAUCAGCUGACCCCAAACCAGACUUCUUGUGGAUGUAAGCAAGCCCCACUGAGAUUAGUAGGGCUGUCCAGAUAAGCCCAGCCUAGAUCUGACUCACAGGCAUGAGCUAAAUAAACAGUUACCAUAUGCUUCUGAGUUUGUGGUGGUUAUGUGACAGAAACUGGUAGUCUGCAAGAUGUGACCCCUGUUAACUAUCUGAUCUUCACUACCUUAUCCCCAACUCUUUUCCAACCACACUGGCCUCUGCUAUUUUUCAACUACACCAAGCAGCCUCCUCCCUCAGUAUCAUUGCCCUUACUUAAUAUCUCACAUCAAGAUAUCCAAGGCUUCUAAUACUUCCCUGUAUACCUACGUACCAAUGGAAUAUUAUGGAUGAAACUUCAAAACAUUAUACUAAGUGAAGGAAGUCAGUCAAAAAGAUCACAUCUUUUUGACCCUCAAAUAGGGCAAGCUCACGGCUUUGACUAUUUUCUGUCCCUAAAUAUUCUUUUUCCUUAUCUUCAUAACAGAUUCUCUUGUCAUCCAGAUUUCAGCUUACAAGUCUUCCCCUCAGAGGCCUUCCCUUGAUUUUCCAAUCUAAAGUAGCUGUCCAGCCACAUGUGUCAUCUCUCUGUUAAGUCUAAUUCUGUCACAUAUUCAUUUAACUCAUUCGUUCAUUCAACAAGCGUGAAUGCUUUGUAUGCACCAAGUACUUCUGAGUAUAGUGAGUAAGACUCAAAAUUCCUGCCCUCAUGUAACCUAUAAUCCAGUGGAGAGGGGACAAAUAAUGUUAGGCAGGGACUUAAAUUAUGGAGAAAUUUUAGAGUAAGAGAAUGAGAAGUUACUGGUAUGAGGAAAAGGCUAUUUCCUAUAAGACUAGUCAUAAGACUCUUUACUAUGCAGACUGCCAAGUAGAGGCCUGAAGAAAGUCAGAGCGGGUCGAAUUUGGGGUGUGGUGAGGGAAUGACAAGAAAAGAAUAACUUGAGAUUCAAGCCUGUAGGCUUGGAAUAUAACUGUACUAGAUAAAAUGGAGACAAGAAAGGAAAUUUGUUCAUUUUCCCCUCAGCGGAAGUGAUUUGAUUUAAAGCUACUGUGAGUUUGGGGUGUUAGUGCAACAUCCAAUUAAGGAUGUCCAGCAGGCUGGUGAGCACACAGAACUAAAACCAAGGAUCUUAGGGCUAGACAUAGAUUCAGGAGUCAGCCCCUGAGAAGUGAAAGAUGAGCUUGUAAAAAGAGAUGACAUUUCCAAAGGACUAGAAGGAAGAAGAGUGCUAACAACUAAGUCUUAGGGAAUUCAACAAAAUAUUUAUAAAAUGUUAUAAAUAUUGACAUUCUGAUAUUAUUUUUACUGAUAGUUCCGAUAUGCAUUUUUUGUGCCUAAAUCUGCCUUCCUUUCUUCAGCCUCAGCAGAAUGCAUGUGGCCUUAUCUGUCUUAUUCACUGCCACAAUCUCAAGUGCCUGAAAGAGUACCAAGAAUGUAGUAGGUCCUUGUCCUUAGGAAAUCUAUAAUGAAAAAGUAUUUGUGUGCCUUCCUCAUUCAGCAUUCGCUGUUAAGAAAAUAACCAACAGUAAGCAACCUGCAAUCUCUUAGGACAUCAGAAUUUCCAUCUCUGGUGAGGAAACUGAGAUGAGAGAAGUUAAAUAACCUGGCCAAAGUCCCACAGUUAAUGAGUGGUAGUUCUGAGACUGUAACUGGUGUUAACUCCAAAGCUAUGCUUUUUCAUUGGACUUCUGCAAGGGAACCCAGGACAUGACACACGAAGUGUCUAGAACCUAAUGGUACCAGCAUCACAUUAAUAAAUGACUUACAUUAACAGAUGCCAACCUCCUCCUUAAAGACUUAAACAUCACAGACUUUACUGUGGGCACCUUAAGACAUUAGCUGUGCCAAAGGUAAGAAUGUUACAUGGCCCAUGCCAGACAAUAAACUAAGGAAAAACAAAAAUCCAGAAUAGUGAGUACCAACCCUUCUACCCAAAAUAUUAUGCUACACUGAGAUUAAAUUCACCACACUAUUUUUUAAAUCUUAUAUUAGUUUGAGAAAUAAUCUUUUUGCUUGUUAGGUCUAAAAGUAGAUAUUUAUAACAUAUUCUCACAACUGAUACUGAAGUAAGUACAAAUAGUUUGAAAUAUAGAGGUCAGUUUGAUUUGAUGUAUCAACUUAAAUUACACAAAGUCUAGUACACAGAAUGUGUGCUCAGCUGCUCAGUUGUGUCUGACUCUUUGUGAGCCCAUGGACUGGAGCCUGCCUCCAGGCUCCUCUGUCCAUGGGGAUUCUCCAGGCAAGAAUACUGGAGUGGGUUGCAAUUUCCUUCUCCAGGGGAUCUUCCCAACCAAGGAUAGAACCCCAUUUCCCACGUCUCCUUUACUGCAGGCGGAUUCUUUACCUCUAAGUCGCCAUAGGAUAAUGCUUGAUAAAAAUAAUGAAAUUCUAGAGAUUUUGCCACUUAUUCAGGAAUUUAUUUAAAAACUGUUUAAAUGUAAAUUAAAUCACAACUGCAUGAUGACUCACCACCAUUUUCAACAUACAACAGUAACAGUACUCACCAUCAGCAUAGAGUCCUUUGGGAUUAUCAGGACAAGAUCUGGACAGAUGCCCCAUUUCCCCACAAACAAAACA